rnacentral:rRNA from 1 species
UACGGGGGGGGCAAGCGUUGUUCGGAAUUACUGGGCGUAAAGGGCUCGUAGGUGGCCAACUAAGUCAGACGUGAAAUCCCUCGGCUUAACCGGGGAACUGCGUCUGAUACUGGAUGGCUUGAAUUCGGGAGAGGGAUGCGGAAUUCCAGGUGUAGCGGUGAAAUGCGUAGAUAUCAGGAGGAACACCGAUGGCGAAGGCAGGUCUCUGGGCCGAUACUGACGCUGAGGAGCGAAAGCGUGGGGAGCGAACAGG